UAUCUGGCCAGAAGCAGCAAGCUCAUUUGUAUGGGUUGCUCAUCCCAAUUGACCACCUCCUGCAGUGCUUCUGGAUCUUCCUCCUGACCUCCAGGAUUAGUUGGCAAGCUCCAGGCAUGGGAGCAAGACUGAGAUGAGCCAAAUUCAGACUGGGAAAGCCUCAUUCAGACACAUACAAAUUCUUCGCCUCCUACAUCAAAUGUGUUGCAACCCACUUCCUCCAGACACUGACUGGGGAAAACUUGGCACCAGGAGCUCACUGCAUAUAAGAGGGUUUUUGCUGUUGUUUUAAGCUGUUGAUUUAUUUCGGGCUCCACAUCAUCUCAGCAUCACCAAACAUCUGAUGAUUUUAUUUCAAUUGCCUGGUUAUGCAUGGCCCGCCUGCUUUUCCACUCACCCAAACCUCCUUCAGUUAUGAAAAAAAUGAAAUGCUGGAUGUUUAUUUUAUCUCUUUUCCCUAGAGAAGGAGUUUAAUAAUUUAGCAGCAGAUAUGAAACUGCUCUAUGAGGAGUAAUUUGUUUUAGGGGGGGGGAAAUAUGAGAUGCUUUUUUCUCUCUCUCUCCCAGAUCCCCAUAUAUAAAGGUAUGGUUUGCUUUGGAUCAUAUUCACUCUCUGAAGACUUGGUUUUGCUAUUAAAAUCUUUAUUUCAUACA